rfam:Hordeum vulgare subsp. vulgare, WGS project CAJW01000000 data, contig: morex_contig_60694
AUCCUACUCCCUCCGUCCCAAAAUUNNNNNNUUAGAUUUGUCUAGAUAUGAAUGUAUCUAGUCACGUUUUAAUAUUUAAAUACAUCUAUUUUUAAAUAAAUGUAAGACAAGAAAUUUGGGACGGAGGGAGUAUUAG